UACGUAGGGUGCAAGCGUUGUCCGGAAUUAUUGGGCGUAAAGAGCUUGUAGGCGGUUUGUCGCGUCUGCUGUGAAAUUUCGGGGCUCAACCCCGAACUUGCAGUGGGUACGGGCAGACUAGAGUGUGGUAGGGGAGACUGGAAUUCCUGGUGUAGCGGUGAAAUGCGCAGAUAUCAGGAGGAACACCGAUGGCGAAGGCAGGUCUCUGGGCCACUACUGACGCUGAGACGCGAAAAGCGUGGGGAGCAAACAGG
rnacentral:rRNA from 1 species